UACGUAGGGGGCGAGCGUUGUCCGGAAUCAUUGGGCGUAAAGCGCGUGUAGGCGGCCCGGUAAGUCCGCUGUGAAAGUCCAGGGCUCAACCCUGGGAUGCCGGUGGAUACUGUCGGGCUCGAGUCCGGAAGAGGCGAGUGGAAUUCCUGGUGUAGCGGUGAAAUGCGCAGAUAUCAGGAGGAACACCGGUGGCGAAGGCGGUUCUCUGGGCAUGUCCUGACGCUGAGGAGCGAAAGCAUGGGGAGCGAACAGG
rnacentral:rRNA from 1 species